rnacentral:lncRNA from 1 species
UGUGCACAGGACCUGAGGUGAAGCCCUAGCCAGGGACCUGCCCUUCUCUACCCAGCGCUUUCCUUCUCUCAUCCCGAGUCAGUACUGCUGGGUCAUUGGCCUUAUCCCGCACCGAAGUUGAAACUUACACCAUCUGUUCACAUCAUCAGUUCUUCUGGUUCUCAUGCUUUUGAACUUCAACUGGCACAAUUCCACUGGCUCUCCUUAGUCUCCAGGUUGCAGAUGGCAGAUUAUAAAUCUCCUUAGCCUCCACCUUUAUAAUCCUAACUAUUACUGACACCUCUUUGAGGACAAAGGAAGUAGCUUUCUGCAAGCCAAAAAGACCUCAGAAAAACAACAAAUCUUCCAAACUCUUGAUUUUGACUUUUUGCCUCCAGAAUUGUGAAGAAAUAAAUAUCUGUUAUUUAAGUAGGCUAGUGUCUGGUAUUAUGUUAUGGCAGCCCUAGUAAACUAAUAUAGGUGUUCAUAACCAUAGGAAUAAACAAAGGAGCCAGACCUGGGUAGCACACAAACGACUUGAAAGAACGUGGAGUGAGUAGUAAGUGACUUUCCCAGGCCAUAGUAGGGCCCUUCUUCUCUUUCAAUCAUAUAAUUAGUUUUUCAGGCAUUGUUAGCGAGCUACAUGAAUAAGUAGACCCAGCAGACAUUCAUUCUUGAGACUGUAUUCCCCCAAAAGACUGAAUAUAUGGGCAGCAAACCUCAAUGAAGAGAAUAUUGAAAUAAGGCUACUCCUAUCUGUUCCACACAUCACACAUAUUGUGUUGGUUUCUAUUGCUCACCAAUUAGUUAAAACUUCAUGGACUAAGAUAAU